rnacentral:rRNA from 1 species
UAACAGCACCCCGAGUGGUCGGGACGAUUAUUGGGCCUAAAGCAUCCGUAGCCGGCCUUACAAGUCCCCCGUUAAAUCCAACUGCUUAACAGAUGGGCUGCGGAGGAUACUAUAAGACUAGGAGGCAGGAGAGGCAAGCGGUACUCAGUGGGUAGGGGUAAAAUCCGUUGAUCCAUUGAAGACCACCAGUGGCGAAGGCGGCUUGCCAGAAUGCGCUCGACGGUGAGGGAUGAAAGCUGGGGGGGCAAACCGG